rnacentral:rRNA from 1 species
CCUACGGGGGGCAGCAGUGAGGAAUAUUGGUCAAUGGACGAGAGUCUGAACCAGCCAAGUAGCGUGAAGGAUGACUGCCCUAUGGGUUGUAAACUUCUUUUAUAUGGGAAUAAAAUGUUCCACGUGUGGGAUUUUGUAUGUACCAUAUGAAUAAGGAUCGGCUAACUCCGUGCCAGCAGCCGCGGUAAUACGGAGGAUCCGAGCGUUAUCCGGAUUUAUUGGGUUUAAAGGGAGCGUAGGUGGAUUGUUAAGUCAGUUGUGAAAGUUUGCGGCUCAACCGUAAAAUUGCAGUUGAAACUGGCAGUCUUGAGUACAGUAGAGGUGGGCGGAAUUCGUGGUGUAGCGGUGAAAUGCUUAGAUAUCACGAAGAACUCCGAUUGCGAAGGCAGUUCACUGGACUGCAACUGACACUGAGGCUCAAAAGUGUGGGUAUCAAACAGGAUUAGAUACCCGAGUAGUC